GGUUAAGCGACUAAGCGUACACGGUGGAUGCCCUGGCAGUCAGAGGCGAUGAAGGACGUGCUAAUCUGCGAUAAGCGUCGGUAAGGUGAUAUGAACCGUUAUAACCGGCGAUUUCCGAAUGGGGAAACCCAGUGUGAUUCGUCACACUAUCAUUAACUGAAUCCAUAGGUUAAUGAGGCGAACCGGGGGAACUGAAACAUCUAAGUACCCCGAGGAAAAGAAAUCAACCGAGAUUCCCCCAGUAGCGGCGAGCGAACGGGGAGCAGCCCAGAGCCUGAAUCAGUGUGUGUGUUAGUGGAAGCGUCUGGAAAGGCGUGCGAUACAGGGUGACAGCCCCGUACACAAAAAUGCACAUACUGUGAGCUCGAUGAGUAGGGCGGGACACGUGGUAUCCUGUCUGAAUAUGGGGGGACCAUCCUCCAAGGCUAAAUACUCCUGACUGACCGAUAGUGAACCAGUACCGUGAGGGAAAGGCGAAAAGAACCCCGGCGAGGGGAGUGAAAAAGAACCUGAAACCGUGUACGUACAAGCAGUGGGAGCACGCUUAGGCGUGUGACUGCGUACCUUUUGUAUAAUGGGUCAGCGACUUAUAUUCUGUAGCAAGGUUAACCGAAUAGGGGAGCCGAAGGGAAACCGAGUCUUAACUGGGCGUUAAGUUGCAGGGUAUAGACCCGAAACCCGGUGAUCUAGCCAUGGGCAGGUUGAAGGUUGGGUAACACUAACUGGAGGACCGAACCGACUAAUGUUGAAAAAUUAGCGGAUGACUUGUGGCUGGGGGUGAAAGGCCAAUCAAACCGGGAGAUAGCUGGUUCUCCCCGAAAGCUAUUUAGGUAGCGCCUCGUGAAUUCAUCUCCGGGGGUAGAGCACUGUUUCGGCAAGGGGGUCAUCCCGACUUACCAACCCGAUGCAAACUGCGAAUACCGGAGAAUGUUAUCACGGGAGACACACGGCGGGUGCUAACGUCCGUCGUGAAGAGGGAAACAACCCAGACCGCCAGCUAAGGUCCCAAAGUCAUGGUUAAGUGGGAAACG
rnacentral:rRNA from 1 species